GGUCGCUUAGCUCAGCUGGUUAGAGCGUUCGGUUUACAUCCGAAAGGUCGGGGGUUCGAAACCCUCAGCGACCA
rnacentral:tRNA from 1 species